UUAUCUCCAUCUUUUAUACUCUUCGUUCUUUUGCCAUUAUAGUAAAAUUAUCUUUACCCGUAGUUUUUUAUCCUCUUUGGAGGGGUUUUUCCACGUUAAAUUUGUGUGUUCAAUUUCUUAAUUUAUUCCACUAUUUUACUUAUUCGCUGCUUAAUCGGGUCGAAAUCCUAACAUAAACUAUAUAGUUAAAUGACAAAACAUCAAGAGCAAAAUAAUUAUUUUGCUAUUAUAACUUCAAGGGUAACCUAUUAUGCAUUUACCCAUCGCACACAUGCUUCCAAAUCCAUAUUAAGACUACUUCUACAAAUAAAUCUCCAAAACCUUUAUCAAAUGCAAAGUUUAGGCAUACUUUAAAUGGUUGAAACUUGCAAAACCUAUUUACAUAUGUAGAUUUUCCUUACAAUUUCACUUAACAUGUAUGUGUGUAGUUUCAAGAUUCAAACAUAAAAAUUAAUCUUUUCAAAUUAAAAUAAUAUGAUGAGAGAAAAUGUAAGAUCGAUUCAGUUCAAUUUUUUUAACCAAAUUGAGGUAUUAAAGUUUUUUCAUUUUCCAAAUCGAAACUUAACCAGUGGACAUAAGAAAUCUGUUAUUACCGAAACCUAGUAAAUCGGUUUGGUUCUAUUCGGGUUUUUAUAUUAUUUUUGGGCCUUGGACUUCUAGGGCCUUGGACUUCUAGACUUAAAUUAAUCAAAUUUGGCUUUAGCUUUAGACUCUUUUUUUUUACUUUAAUUUGAUAAAACAAUUCUUAGAUUAUUUGAAAAUUAUAAUUUUUUUCAAUUUAUCUAAAAAUAAUAAUUUAUAAAAUUAAAAAUCUAAUUAAACAUUAUUCAAUAACUUUCAAUAACAUAUAUUUAUUAAUUAAAAACAUUAAUUAAAAAAAAAACUUGAAACAACAUGAAAUAAAUACAAAUGUGCUUAGAACAAUAAUUGAACUUGGGACUCAAAAUAAAAUCACUAUUAUAUAAUCAUUUAACUACAUAUACUAAUAUUUUAAAAAUAAUAAUUAAAAAUAAAAGUAAAGCUUGAAACAACAUGAAAUAAAAAUAUAAAAUUGAGUAAAAGACAAAUCGAACCUAAGACUCAAAAAUAAAACCACUAAUACUUAACCAUCUAACCAAAAGAGUUUAUAUGUCAAAAAAUUUAAAAGCACAUUCUGUAAGAAACAUUUUCUAUUUCUCUUUCCAAAAUCGAUCUAUUUCCUAAAUAACAUUUUCUUAUAUAUUUUUAAAAUCAGCAUUUUUUUUUAAAUUUAGCCAAAGAUUAAGACUAAAUUAGAUUUAGGGUUGGCGUCUAUUUAGUUGUCUAAAUUCAUUAUUAGCCAGAGUGCUUAAAGCCAAAUAUUUCCCACAUUCAAAUUUUCUAAAUGCACAACUGGGGAGCUUACCUUCAUUUACCUAGAGGAGCAUCUGGGCAACAAAGGGUCUCCUUCAAGAUGGGCUUUGUUGGAGAGUAGGUAGAAGUACUAAGAUUUCUAUAUAGAACGAUUGCUGGAUUCCAAGGAGUGUUGCAGUUGGUUGGCAAAAUAGAGUAGAAAAUAGUGAUUUGCAAUUAGUCUCGGAUCUAAUCGAUAGCUUAACUAGAACAUGGAAAAGGGAGUUAGUGAACAGUACUUUUUAUACGGAAACUGCCCAAAAGAUUUUGCAGAUCCCUUUGGCAGAAGCGGAGCAUGAAGAUUUCCAAGUGUGGAAAGAGGAACUUUUCGGAGUUUUCUCAGUACGAAGUGCCUAUAAACUAUUACAAUGUGCUAGCAUGGAUCUUAAUAGUUAUUUAUUGCAGACCGAAACUAAAGAUUUCUUUAGAAAACUAUGGGAUAUACAACUACCAUAAAAAAUUGCAAUAACAGUAUGGCGGAUCUACUGGAAUUUCAACCCUAAAAUGGCCAAUCUAAGUUGCAAGAGAGUGGCUAACAACAUCAUCUGCCCUCGCUGUGGUGUUGGGGAAGAUGAUAGUUAUCAUGUCUUUAGACAGUGUUCUGCAGUCAGAAAAAUAUGGUCAAGUCUUAAUCUCUCUUGGGGUAUAUCCUAUAUGGAUCAAAAUAUUGGUGAAUGGCUUACCUGGUUUUUUGCAAGAGGUACCAAGGAACAGUGCAGGAUCUUUUGUUGUGCAUCGUGGCUCAUAUGGAGCUCAAGGAACCAGUUUGUUCAUGAAAAGAAAUCCAUUUCAGUACGGGAUCUAGUUGAGAAAAUCAGAAGCUAUUUAACUGAACUGGAAGGGAUCAGAGAUAAGAAACUUGCCUCUAUUACCGAAAACACCCAUAGUCAAAUAGGGGAGACAUCGAGAUCAACGGUAUUGUUUGAUGCAGCCUUUGAUGGGAGAAAUUUUCGAUCGGCCUCGGGGGUAGUGGUUCGGGACCAGAUGGGGGUAACGACACUCCAUGAAAAUAUCUCCUCCUCAUUCGUAGCCGAAGCUCAUACAGGGUUAGAGGCCAUCAAGUUAGUAACAUCAAUGGGUUUAUUUUCAGUAAUAAUAAAGGGAGACUCGAAAACAGUUAUUAAGAAAUGUAAAUCGCAAGAAGUAGACAAAUCCGUUCUUGGAGCGAUCAUUCGAGAUAUUCAGAGAAAAAGAGACAGUCUUCAAGAUGUUAUUUUCUAGUUUAUUCCUAGAUCGGAAAAUGUUCAAGCAAAUAACCUAGUGAAAGGAGCACUAGAGAAAAGGGAAGCAUCAUACCUGGUGAGGGAAGGGAGGAGUCACAGCGCAAUAGUUCCGGAAAGAAGAUGGAGAGAAGAACCGGAUUGAUUUGGUUUUUGAAAUGGGGAAAUGAGAAGUCAUGAUAGCUAAUAUCCGGAAAUUCUUAGAAAAGCUAUCUUGGAAUCGGUGUGGCUAUUGACAGGAAGAGACGAUCGAUGUAAUGCUGGCUAGGCUAUCUUUCGAUUUGACUGGGUUUAUUAAUUAGUUUUACUUUUUCUCCAGAUAUUUUAGUUUUUGCACUAAGUUUCCUGUUUUUUGGUUUUUUUCAAUGUUCGGGCUCCUUCUUGUAGUCAAAAGAAAAGCCCAUUUUUAUUUAUUUAUGUUUUUCAUAUGGUCCUGAGCCCAGAGGUUAAUUGUUUUGGGUUUUGUUUUUAAUGUUCUCAAUAAAUAAAAGCCCAGUCUUUAUAUUCCAAAA
rnacentral:lncRNA from 1 species